rnacentral:rRNA from 1 species
CCUACGGGUGGCAGCAGUGAGGAAUAUUGGUCAAUGGACGAGAGUCUGAACCAGCCAAGUAGCGUGAAGGAUGACUGCCCUAUGGGUUGUAAACUUCUUUUAUAAAGGAAUAAAACGAGGCACGUGUGCCUUUUUGCAUGUACUUUAUGAAUAAGGAUCGGCUAACUCCGUGCCAGCCGCCGCGGUAAUACGGAGGAUCCGAGCGUUAUCCGGAUUUAUUGGGUUUAAAGGGAGCGGAGAUGGGUUGUUAAGUCAAUUGUGAAAGUUUGCGGGUCAACCGUAGAAUUGCAAUUGAUACUGGCAGUCUUGAGUACAGUAGAGGUAGGCGGAAUGCGUGGUGUAGCGGUGAAAUGCUUAGAUAUCACGCAGAACCCCGAUUGCGAAGGCAGCUUACUAAACUGUGACUGACAUUGAUGCUCGAAAGUGUGGGUAUCAAACAGGAUUAGAUACCCGUGUAGUC